GCUGGCGGCAUGCCUUACACAUGCAAGUCGAACGGCAGCACGGGAGCUUGCUCCUGGUGGCGAGUGGCGAACGGGUGAGUAAUACAUCGGAACGUACCCAGGAGUGGGGGAUAACGUAGCGAAAGUUACGCUAAUACCGCAUAUUCUGUGAGCAGGAAAGCGGGGGAUCGCAAGACCUCGCGCUCUUGGAGCGGCCGAUGUCGGAUUAGCUAGUUGGUGAGGUAAAAGCUCACCAAGGCGACGAUCCGUAGCAGGUCUGAGAGGAUGAUCUGCCACACUGGGACUGAGACACGGCCCAGACUCCUACGGGAGGCAGCAGUGGGGAAUUUUGGACAAUGGGGGCAACCCUGAUCCAGCCAUGCCGCGUGAGUGAAGAAGGCCUUCGGGUUGUAAAGCUCUUUCGGCGGGGAAGAAAUGGCAACGGCUAAUAUCCGUUGUUGAUGACGGUACCCGCAUAAGAAGCACCGGCUAACUACGUGCCAGCAGCCGCGGUAAUACGUAGGG
rnacentral:rRNA from 1 species